GGGCACGUGUGAAUUUGUGUGCGCCUGUGUGUGUGCACCUGCCUGUCACUGCUGUGUGCGUGUGUGUGCGUGUGUGUGUGUGCGCGCGCGCGUGUGUCACUGCAGGGCGUGUGCAUCAGAGGGGAAGCAGAGAGCAUUGCCCACACGCUGCGCCAGGCCCAGGCCCAGCACCGCCAGGCAGGGGAGCCCGCAUUGGAGGCAGAUGCUGCGGCGCGAGAAGCUGCCACCGCUGCGCCUGCGCCCCAGCACCCCGGCACCAGAUGCCACCCUGGGCGCAGGCAGGCGGGCAGCAGACAGGCUCCCCACCAUUAAGGGCGCUGCGGGUGUA